AAUACCCUAACGGCUGUUACAUUAUUGAGGUAGUAACUACACGGUGUUAUUGGCGAGUUUCUCGCCGUCGACGAAAAUAUUCUACAAUACAUUGUCUAUGUUUUACAGCUACAAUAUGAUAUUUUAUUGUUAAGAACGUUCGUAUAUCAUAUUGUUGAAAUACAAAUACAUACGCGCACCGCCGCCGAUGUGGUUUCAGACGAUUUU